UGAUAACUUUGUGUUGGAGGUCGAAUU
rnacentral:piRNA from 1 species